rnacentral:hammerhead_ribozyme from 1 species
AUCCAGCUGACGAGUCUCAAAUAGGACGAAACGCUUGUCCUAGAU